UAGUUCUAGUCGGAGAAGCAGGGCACGUGCAACAUCUUCAUCAAACUCAAAGCUCGAGUUUAAUCUGAUAUUGCACGUGUUCUCCUUCUCCAACAUGAUCUU